CAGCAGUAGCCACGGUAAUACAGAGGGUGCGAGCGUUAAUCGGAUUUACUGGGCGUAAAGCGUGCGUAGGCGGCUUCUUAAGUCGGAUGUGAAAUCCCUGAGCUUAACUUAGGAAUUGCAUUCGAUACUGGGAAGCUAGAGUAUGGGAGAGGAUGGUAGAAUUCCAGGUGUAGCGGUGAAAUGCGUAGAGAUCUGGAGGAAUACCGAUGGCGAAGGCAGCCAUCUGGCCUAAUACUGACGCUGAGGUACGAAAGCAUGGGGAGCAAACAGGAUUAGAUACCCCGGUAGUCCCUGUCUCUUAUAC
rnacentral:rRNA from 1 species